UACGAAGGGGGCGAGCGUUGUUCGGAUUUACUGGGCGUAAAGGGCGCGCAGGCGGCUCAUUUUGUCAGGCGUGAAAGCCCCGGGCUUAACCUGGGAACUGCGUUUGUGACUGCAUAGCUAGAGUACGGUAGAGGGGGAUGGAAUUCCGCGUGUAGCAGUGAAAUGCGUAGAUAUGCGGAGGAACACCGAUGGCGAAGGCAGUCCCCUGGCCUGUACUGACGCUCAUGCACGAAGCGUGGGAGCAAACAGG
rnacentral:rRNA from 1 species